GUCCUAUAGAUUAUUAAUUUUAGGUCUAUCCUGCUCAGUGAUUUAUUUUAAAUAGCCGCAGUAUUUUGACUGUGCAAAGGUAGCAUAAUCAUUUGUCUUUUAAUUGAAGGCUUGUAUGAAUGGUUGGACGAGAUAUUAACUUUCUUUAUUUAAUUUUUAUGAAUUUAAUUUUUUAGUGAAAAAGCUUAAAUUAUUUUGUGGGACGAGAAGACCCUAUAGAAUUUAAGAUUAAUUUAUUAUAUUUAAUUAAUUAUUUGAUUAUUUUAUAUUAUUCUUAAUUUUUGGUUGGGGUGAUUAUAAAAUUUUCUUAACUUUUAUAUUUUAUUUUCAUCGAUUAAUGUUUUUAUUGAUCCUUUAUUAAGGAUUAUUAGAUUAAAUUACCUUAGGGAUAACAGCGUAAUUCUUUUGGAGAGUUCUUAUCGAUGAAAUGAGUUUGCGACCUCGAUGUUGGAUUAAAAUUUUAGUUGGGUGGAGGUGCUUAAUUUAUAGGUCUGUUCGACCUUUAAUUUUUUACA
rnacentral:rRNA from 1 species